UACCCAAUGUAAUCCCACAAAGUGAGAAAUGAGGAGGAUAAAGUGUACGCAAACCUUAACCCUACCUGGUGUUAAGGAAUAUUGGAAUGCAUUUUCUUUAUUAUACAUGAUCCCGGGCUUUUUCACGCCAUACAAACUAUAGGUUUGAGGAUGGUGAACUCCUAAUUCAAUUCAUACAUUUUAAUAUUUUACAACAUCAAAGGACCAUUUGGAUUUUGGCCAUACAGUUCAGACUGUUUUCAUUCAAAAACAACUCAACAGUAAGUAAGAAAUCACAACUCACCGGAUCAAUAUCCAUCAUUAUUUGAUGCCUCCCCCAACUUGAAAAGCUUUGCCUCUUCUUCUAUUGAGCUUCAAUUUGAAUUCUAGGGUUUUUUUAUAUAGCAGAAGGAUUGCGCGGUUUGGGAAAUUGGGAAUGAUAGAUGGGCCGGUUCGGGUUCUCCUCUCUAAAUUCAAGUUUUUGCACCGGUCGGAUUCUCCCUAUUUUCGGGUCUCUUCCAAAUUAUAUGGUUCAAAUCUUAAUGAGUCGUGAUUUAAAGUUAUUGAAUUUUAAAUCAGCAACAUAUACAUAGUCGAUGAAUUCUCAAGAAUAUAAAAUUUUCCACUAAAGCAAUUGAGUUCAAUGAACUAGUAGGCGACAUUCUAACUUUACCCUCGACUCUAAUUCUUUUCGUAUAUUUGAUAUGUAAUUUCUUAUUUCUUUUUUGCAGUGGCAUAUAAUUUACUUUUAACAUUAUAUUUAGUAUAAUUAAAUAUUUGCUUAUGUAUGAUUGAACCACUUUCUGUUGUUUUUUUGGUUACCAUGUUACAACCUCUAGUUCGGGUCGGGUCAUUUUUAGUAUACCAUAUGCAAAGUGAAUUACCCAACAGUGAUUGCAAGUAAUCACAUACGAGAUACGACCUAUACACAAUCAUAACAUGCUUUUCUAGGCCGCUAAGUCAGGAAUAGAGUGUUAACGGUAGACAUUACAUCAUGUUCAAUGGAAUAACGCUAAUAGUCAAAUAAUAGCAAUAUACAUGCCAUAAGAAGCAUAAUCCAUUAAGAUCUGCCAAAAAGAGGAAUUAAAGCCUUAACAUAUAUCUUUCAAACAAAAGCAUCAAUAAGGUGUUAAGGUCUUCAUUACGACCAACCUACUUUAACUCAUCAAAAUCUCAACAAUAACAACAAGAAGAAGAAGCUAUCAAUAUCUCACAAGAGCGGUAAGCUCCUGAAGUAAUAUAACAAGACGUACAUUCAAAUUAUCUCUUGUGAGAAUUUCAGUUACUGUGCUGGGGAAUAUUGGAAAAACAAAUGUCAUUCCUGAUGAUAACAGAAGCAAUGCACUCUUGUCAAUUUCUCACAUUCAACAAGCUGAGGAAACCUCUGUUCCUUACACAAUGCGUAUAGAUUCUUUCUGUAGACACCUAAGAGUUAACAAAAGAUAUACAUGUUUCAUUUCUCCAAAACAUCUCUGGUUUCUUUCAAGCCAACUACUCCACAUGAUGGAUAGACGAACACUUCUUUCUCCAAGAUAUCUGCUGGUAUUAAUUUCAUGUCCCCCAGACCUGCCAGCUAAAGAUGACAUUGUACUCCAAUACUGGUGAUAAACUAAGAAGAAUACGAGAGUUGUAACAUAACAAGAAAAGAAGAAAAAGAGUGUCUCAAUCAUACAUAAGAAACUAAUAUGUAAGUGAUCUUGGAGAAAUCAAGCUUUCUGUAAAAGCAUGUGCAUCUAAUAUGAUAUCACAUUGAGGCCAUGCUCCAAAUGGUCCACUACGUGUCCUUAAUCAACCCCCAACACCGCACCUGAAUAGCACUUCACCAUCCGCAAACCUAUAUUUCGGUAUAGCAAUAACAAUAUAAGGAUCUUCGAUAGAUAGCAAUGGAAUCCAAGAUUCCUUGAUACCAUACUCUUUCAAUACCCAUAACUUAAUAGUAUGCUUACUCUGAUCAUAAAGAGAAUUAGAAUGAACACAAAGCAUUCCAUCCAACACUGUAAUGCCAAAAACAUCCCUCGAGACUGAAAUUUCCUCCUGUAAGGGAAUCUCUCCGUACACUUCAUUUGAAAUACUAAACGAAACCACCACAGCAUAAUUUCGUGAAAUACCAAUCCAAUGAAAUGCCGCAUGUACAAAUGUCAAAAACUGCACAGCAAACAUCAGAGAGUAAAUGCCAUGAGGAUGCUUAUCACUUCUUCUCCAAGAGCCACCUUUCAGUGCAAGAAUUUCACAAGGUAAAUCGAAACCCUGAUAAAUCUGAACAAUCCUAUACUCACCACUGGUUGAGUCAUAACCCAAACCAAAACAAGGACUUUUGUCCAGUGGAAAUUCUGGAGAAGGAAGUACAAUUGAUUCUCUUGUGGAGGGGUUCCACAGAAAAAAUGUGGAGUGUUCAUUCAAAUUAUCAGGAACCUCCAUAACAGCCAAGCCAUCAUAACAACAAUGGAUUGUGCAUUGCAAUGGUGUAGGGUUUGAAGGGAAAUCGAGUUUUUGUACAUCCUCAACCAGCUGAACCGGCGACAAAGGACAACAAUACAUGGAACAUAUACCAUUCUUACGGCACCUUAGGCUAGUAAGAAGUUUUUGAGAAUCUUGAUCAUUCUUGGCACGACUGAGAUGCUUCAUCUUAAAGUAUGGCUCGGAGAUCAACGUUUCCCAAAAUUUUGACACACAUUUGAAUCGAAGUAGAGACUGCACAGGUAACCUGCUAAGGAUGUCCAUAAGUAUUACCUCUGGGAAGUGAACUGCCAUGGCCUAGAUAGGACAAGAAAGAGCGAUCAGACAAUUUUUUUUCAAGUAUUCAUAUAUUAGACAUUUCAACCAAGAGUUCAGAAAAGAUAAACCUGAAUUUGUUUUAUUUCUUCUAUCUACUAUUUAGUAACAAAUAUAGAAUUGAAUAUUUCAAGUGGAGAAUACUGAAAUUACUCGGCUCUUGGCAGUGGCACCAAGUACACAUGCCAAGCAUCUAAGUCCCAACCAACAACAAUUAAAAAUACUCAAUUGUAAGUAACACAACUCAGAAAUCAGAACUUACAUCAACAUCCAUCUGGUCUGUGUUAUCAUUUGAUGGCUCCACAACGCUCUUCCCUGAUUUAAUUAAAAAAUUAAGUCUGGUUAUAAAGAAAAACACACACACACACACAGAGAGAGAGAGAAGACUUAGGAUGUAGCUGGUGAAAUAGUCGAGGUGCAUAAACACACACACACACACAACAGCAGCUGCACAAAACAAACAGAUACCUUUGGAGAUCUGAUUAAACUUUUGGAUUGCAUCAAUUCCAUUGCUAAUAAGAAUUUGAUUGAAAAGAUCAACCUCUAACUUUGGAGUUGCAAUGGACUUCUUCUUCUGUUUUUGUAUCUCUGGAGCAUAACUACUAUCUGCUAAUUUUCGUUCAUUCUUAAUUUUUCGUGUCAUCUUUCUUUGGAGCGAUUACUGGUUUCUCAAUUGCUAAGUAUUGAUUGAAGAGACUCAAAAAAAAAUUAUCUGCAAAAGAAAGGGCUUAUUGAAGGAGAGUAGGGAUUUCUUGCUAAUCAGGUACUAUCAUCGAGCUGCAACUGCUUGAAAAAAAUCAAUUGAAACAUCAGGUGGGAUAAAAGGAAAGAGUGUACCUGCGCCGCUUGAUGAUCGGAUGCACAAUCUUGUUUUCUAGGAUUUCUUUUUCUAUUGAAAAAAAGCUUUAGUUUUGUUCAUUCAUUAUCACAAUUUAUGCAACACAAUUAUUAAUUAAAGGGUCUAACUAACGCAAAUAUUAGAUAGUUAGGCGUCGUUUGGCAUGAAGUAAAAGGUAUAAUAAUCCCAGGGAUAAAAUGUAGGAUUAUUUUAUCCGGUGUUUGGUUGGAGGUAUUAGGCAGUCUUGGAAUUAUUUAUUCCACCAUUUAAACCUUAGUGAUGGGAUAAGUUAUCCCAUAUACAUGGUGGAAUAAUUAAUCCUAUAAUAACUUGUUCCCAACCAAACGACCCCUUAGAGUAUUAUAAAUUGGAAAACUUCUUUUUAUUGUAAAAAAGAAGAGCAUUGCAAUGCGAAUGAUUUUACGAUGCGAAUAAUAAAUUAUCAUGACACAAAGGAGAAAUUUUGCAGGGACAACUGUUUGAUAAAUGACCUUUUUAUUAUAUCUUGCAAUUUACGAUUCUUUGCCAUAUCACAGUAAGAUUCCUUUUGAGCAAACUGAAAAUAGCAUGAGAAAAUGUUAGAUUGUGGUCCAAAUUUGUUGUAAGUUAUUCAAAUGUUCAAUGACAAUCUAAUAUUUUAACAGUAAGAUUGGGAAACUUAUGAAUAAACAGGAGACAAAAUCUAAUGUUAUUUGGAAUGUAACUUUUAAGGGAUAUAUUUGCACAACUUCUAAAAAUGACACCAUAAAUAGUGGUGUAAAGAAGGACAUUUGUGUAAAUUGACAAGAGGUGCACCGUUAAUUACAUAGAAGAAGCUCCAAAUAUGAGACAAGGAAAAUUCCCAACAAAGAAAAAAAUUAGUAUCUCCUAAUCAACUUCACAAAGGUAUUUGUUUCUUUCUGUGAGUUUUUUUACCUUGGGUUUGCAGGUGUUAUCGUCUUUUUGGGGAUGACCACAAUUUUCAAUUGCAGCGAAAAGAAUUGUGAAGCUGUCAAAGAAUUCAAAGAAGAUGGAUGUUUUUUUUUUUGAUGACUGUGGUGUCCGGGCCAGCUUUUGCGUACCUCGACUAAUUCCACGGAUACCUUCCACCUCCCACCAGCAACAGGUACCAAGUAAAGAUGGAUGUUGUUGAUCAGGUUACUUCAUUUGUUGGUUGAACUUAGAAUCUAGGAUUAUUUGCUAUGGCCAAAAGGUAUUUUUCCUGUGUUUUCGUUUUACUCAAAUUAUUGUUAAAAAAAUAAAACCCUAGUGGAAAAAUGUAGUUGAACAACCAGUCUUAAAAUAUGUAGCGGAACAAUGAGUAAUGCAUACAAUCUCUGUAGUUUUUUCCUCACUGGUCUGGUCACUAGAAUUCCCUGGAACUUUAGAGCACAUGUGCUCUAGGGAGAAAGAAAUCCAAACACAAAGCCGACAAGGCGACAAAUCAUUACCAAGCAUCAAUAGCUUCCAUCAUAGAACCACUAGAAAACAAUGUGAGAAAACUAAUUGAUGCCUUUUUUACAGCCAUGCCAGUUUAUGCAUUCACUGAGUUAUUUUUUCAAACUAGACACCACAACCAUAGCCAAGGCACCAAACAAAUUGGAAAUUCAUAAAGUACUUCACCCAUUUAUUGCUUACAUGGGGCCACUGCCAAUUGACAAGUAAUUUCAUCUGCUUGAAAUUUUCUAAUUUAUUAUUUCUCAGUAAAUAGUAACAACAUCAACAUACCCGGUGUAAUCCCACAUGUGGGUCUAGGGAGGAGGGUGGUGUUCACGCUGCCUUGCCCCUACCUUGUGAAGGUAGAUAGGUUGUUUCCGAUAGAUCCUCAGCUCAAGUAAAGCAUAACAAAAUCAAAUAUGUAAAGCAAAUACAUCAGCAGAGAAGUCAUGCCGAAAACAAUGAAGAAGAGAACAAUAGCAACAACAAAUAAUAUGAAAGCAGAAGCAAAGAAAACAUAGGUAAUACUAAAGUCAAAGAAUACGGUAGUAGGAAAGUAAUAAUAACAACACGGAUAAGUAACUACACAACGCUCAACUACCUACUAACCUUCUACCCUAAUCUCCAUCCUCCGUAUCUUCCUAGCUAGUGUCAUAUCCUCGGUAAGCCGCAAGCGUGCUAGUAGUUUGAUGAAAUCGUGAAAUUUUCUAGAUUUAUCUUUUCUAAACUCUUAGAUGAAAUUGUUUCAUAUUUGAAUACCUUAAAAAAUUGUAUGAUCACAUUUUCUUUUCUAUCUAGCCCAUGCAACUCACUUCCAAGAGGAAAUACUUAUGGACAUCCUCAAUAGGUUACCCAAGAAUCUCUUCUUUGAUUCACAUACAACAACAACAUACCCCGUGUAAUCCCACAAAGUGAGGAAUGGGGAGGAUAAAGUGUACGCAAACCUUACCCCUACCUCAGACUAUGGUGUUAAGUAAUAUUGGAAUGCAUUUUCUUUAUUAUACAUGAUCCCAGGCUUUUUCACGCCAUACAAACUAUAGGUUUGAGGAUGGUGAACUCCUAUUUCAAUUCAUACAUUUUGAUUGUACAGGGCAUUAUUUUACAGACAUCCAAAGGACCAUUUGGAUUUUGGCCUCGAUGUGACACAGCUCGGACUAGAAUCGCUUAGCUAUAGCAAACA
rnacentral:lncRNA from 1 species